UUUCUGACGAAUCCAGGUGGUGUGGGGCGGUCUUACUCGUUUCCCGCGUGAAAUUAGAGCAUUUCCCUCCAAAACUUAUGAUCCCUAUAAUAACCACUGAGGAAUCUUCACUCUGGUUGGAGCGGCUCUUCUCUGAGGACACGAACACGGUGAACAGUGGGACCUGUCUUCAGCUUCAGGUGGAACAGCUCUGACCUGUAUGGUGAUCAGAACCAGAGAGGAGACACACCUGGUCCAACCAGGUGACAGACAAGUGGAAAGGUAGAAUCCCCGAGAAGAGCAGUCAGGACCGACAAGAAGAGCUCAAUCCUGGAGACGAGCUUCAGCUUCAGGUGGAACAGCUCUGACCUGGAUGGUGAUCAGACCCGGAGAGGAGACACACCUGGUCCAACCAGGUGACAGACAAGUCGAAAGGUAGAAUCCCCGAGAAGAGCAGUCAGGACCGACAAGAAGAGCUCAAUCCUGGAGACGAGCCAGCAGGAAAACUCAGGUAUCUGAGUGUCUGUCUUCUGUUGACAGCUCCUUCAGAUCGUACAGUUGUUGUUGACUACGGUUUCACCUGCUCAGACAGUUCUGCUGUCUCUAUUGGCUAUUUACAUAAUAAACCCUUUUUUUGAAUUACA